UGAAAAUUUUAAUUUAGUUGAGAAAAUUAGUAGUUAAAUUUUUUAUAUGUAAAUUUUAGUGUUUUUUUAAAUAAGAAUUUUAGCAGUAAAUAAAUUUAAAAAUGUAAGAAAUUAUGAUUUAGAAAUUUAUAUUAGUAUUAACAUAAUUUGUGCCAGCAGUUGCGGUUAUACGAAUAAUGCAAUUAAUUUUUAUUAGUAAAUAAUAAAUUGUUAUUUAAUAAUUAAUCAAUAAUUUUUUUAGGUGAAAUUUUAAAAUUAUAGUUAAUUAAAUUUAUUUAUGUGAUUUAUUAAAUUUAAAAUUAAACUAGGAUUAGAUACCCUAUUAUUUUAAUUGUAAAUUUAUUACUUAAUUAGUAUUAGUUAUAACCUUUAAAGUUAAAAAUUUUGGCGGUAUUUUAGUCUUUUUAGAGGAACCUGUUCAGUAAUUGAUAAUCCACGAUUUAUUAAACUUAUUUUUUUUUAGUUUGUAUAUCAUCGUUAUUAAGUAUUUUAUAAGAAUAAAAAUAUUUAAAUAAUAUAAUUUUAUGAUAAAUCAGAUCAAGGCGCAGCUUAUAAAUAAGAUGAAAUGGGUUACAAUAAAUUUAUUUAUGGAUAAUUAGUUGAAAAUUAAUUUGAAAUUGGAUUUAAAAGUAAUAUAAUUUAAAUUAAUUAUAUGAUUAAAGCUCUAAAAUAUGUACAUAUUGCCCGUCACUUUCAUUUAAAAUGAAAUAAGUCGUAACAAAGUAGAUGUACUGGAAAGUGUAUCUAGUAAGAC
rnacentral:ncRNA from 1 species